rnacentral:tRNA from 1 species
AAGUGUUUAGCUCAUGUGGUGUAGAGCGCUGGAUGAAAAUCUGGAGGUGACGGGUCCGAAUCCCGUAACAC